rnacentral:misc_RNA from 1 species
UCGCAGGCCAGGGCACACCCAUACACAUACCACUGCACAUACACCUUACCAUAGACAUACAAGCACAUGCACAGGCACCCACACGCACCACCGAAAGACGUGCACAUCCAGUGACGACACAUCACCUGAACACACCCACCCACCCUCUCUCUCUCCCCCUCCACUCCUUGACAGCGACAACGGGCGGAUCUUUGAGCUGCCCUCCCCUCCAUCCCCCUCCCCCCAACACGCACACACGCACAUCAGCCUCAGGCGCGCUCACCUCGCGCGCUCAUCUUUUCCCUUUUGUCGGAUCGACGCGGGAGUCUCGCAGCAGCACGUCGUUGCUCUGCCGCGACCAGCUUGACGAGCAGUAGAGGGCACCGCUGGGGAGAACAACGGCACUUGCGAUGCUGGGCUCGCCAUCUGAUCCACCGCCGCGUGAUGCCGCCGCGCCGGUGAGCGCGGCUUCCUCUCCUUCUGCAGCGCCGCCCGUGGCGGCCGCGUACUCCACCGGUUCACAGGCGCUGCAAGCUGAGCUGCACCAACUGCGCGAGCGCCUGCGUGUGAGUGACGAGUGGAAUAUGCGCCUCCAACUUCAACUACAGGAACUUCUGCAGUUGCCCCAGAACGAGGUGCAGGACAUGCGGCAGCGCAUGCAGGACCCCGACAUCGCCAUACCGCUUCUCCAGUGCUACGACGCUGUGAUUCACGAAAAGACGGAAGAGGUGGAGCGGCUGCGCAGAGAAACGGUGGACCUGCAGACGCAGCUGGACGCGUUUCGCAAGGACCAGCUUGACGUGUCGAACGCCGUCCGCAUGGCCGAAGAGCUGGCGAAGAGUGUGCAGGGCAAGGCAGCGGCGGAGGUGCAGCGCUAUCUCGAGGCGGUGCGCGAAUUGCAAGAGGAGCUGGUGCGCCUCCGCAUCGAGAUGGCGCGCGCCCUUGACGCGGAAAAUACCGCCAAGCAGGAUGCACUCCGCAUAGCAGAGCGCGCAGCCUCCUUAGAGACGGCUCUGGAGGCGGCCAAGCAGGCCACGUCGAAGGCAGAGGCAGCCCGAGAGGCCGCGGAGCGGAAGCGGAGGAUACAGGAGCAGCAGGCUGAGGAGCAGCAGACGGGCGCGGUGGUGCAGAAGGCUCAGCUGCAGCUCAUAACCCAGGAGAAUGCCGACAAGGCGCAGGAGCUAGAGCGGCUCCGUGCCAAGAUGACGCAUGCACUCCGCCAGGCGAGCGACAACCACGCCGCGCACCUCCGCAUCGUGGAGGAGCGCCAUCGCAUGAUCGUCGAGGGCCUACGCAGCGUGAACCGUACCCAGGAGCUGGAGGUGCUGAAACUGCGCGCUCAGCUGGCCCGGUGUGAUACGACGAACCCAUCUGGCGCCGGCCGCGGCACCGGUGCGUCCUCAGCACCUACAUCAUCGCUGCGCUUCCAGAGCACGGCAGAGCUGCUGGAGGCGCAGACACGGCAGGCGCAAGAAAUGGAGCUGAAGCGGCUCCACGGCGAGGUGUCCGCGCUGCAACUGCAACGAAAUGAUGCGGUGCGACAGUGCGAGCAGUGCACCUCUCGGCUUCAACGCGAUUUCGAUCAGCAGCUCCAGGAUGCGCAGCGCCAGCUGCAGAGUGCACAGCGCAGCCUCUCUGAGGCACGCUCACGAUGCGAGGAGCUCGAGGAGACGAAAGCGGCGCAGGAGACCUCCUUGCGCAAGGCGCGCGACGAGCUACGCCAAGCCCAGCAGGGCGGCCAGCAGUACCGUCUCAGCGCUGACAGCAGCGCACGCAAGCUGGCGUCUGCUCAGCAGCAGCUCGCGGAGGCAAACAGGCGCCUCGGCACCCUGCAGGAGGAGAAGCAAAGUGCUGUUCGGCAGGCCCAGGAGAGGGUGAGCGAGCUGGAGGCCAGCGUGGCCCAAGCGCUGCAGGAGGUGCAGUCAGCGAAGGAGCGCGCCUACGCGGAGGCGGAGGAGGUGCAGCGCCGAUAUGAGCAGCUGCGGCUGCAAAGCUCGAAAUUGCACGCCGACCUGCGCGAGCGCGAAGCCGCGUUGGUGAGGAAGGAGCGGGAGCGCAGUAUUUUGGCGGCACAGAUUGGACGCCUCGAGGACGGCCUAGAGGCGCACAAGCGCCAAAUGAUGGAGUCGGACCGGCGUGCGCAGCAGUUGGAGCAGCAGCUGACCGCAAUGCGGCAGCAGCAGCGCGACAGCUUCUUAUCCCUAGAGCAGAUGAAGCUGCAGAACGCGCAACUGACGCGGACGCGAGAUCAGCUAGCAGAGAUGCUGCAGGCGCGUUCCUUUUAGUAGGGCACAUGGUGGCGCACACACGCGCACACGCUCUCCUCGUUCCUCCCUCGUCCAUCUUGGCCUGUCCCCACUCAGAUGCCUCCCCACCCUUCUGUGCACGUGUAUGCCGUGGAUGCCUCCCGCCUUCCCUCACUUUCCUCUGGCCGCCUGUAGAACACCAGAAGCGACAAGAGCAAAGAGGGGCAUUCUAUAUUGCAUGCCGGGAGCACUGAAAGACGACUGUGCAGCUCCGCCUCCGAUGCGGCUCAGCGGAUGCUUGCCUGCCCGUCUCCCCCUUUCCAAACGCCAUCCCCACUUUCCUUCCGCUUUAUCACGUUGUUCGAGUCACUCUGCCGACGAUGCCGCAUCCCUCUCCAGUGGUGGCGCUGGGGAGGGAGAGGGGGAGACCACAGCUCUCCUUUCUUUCGCCAGCUCUCAUCACAGCAGGGAUGUUCCCACCACCACCACCGCCUUUUUUCCACGCGUCCCAAGCGCUGGCGUGUUUCGCUUCACGCCUCUCUUCUCCUCGCCUCCCGUCCUUCCUCUGCCGUUUGCUCUACGUGGCUUCUCGUGCUGCCAG